CACGUGAAAUCCUGUCUGAACGUGGGGGGACCACCCUCCAAGCCUAAGUACUCCUGUGCGACCGAUAGUGAACAAGUACCGUGAGGGAAAGGUGAAAAGCACCCCGACGAGGGGAGUGAAACAGUUCCUGAAACUGGAAAUCUACAAGCUGUCGAAGCCUCCUUGCGGGGCGACGGCGUACCUUUUGUAUAAUGGGUCAGCGACUUAGUCUUACUAGCAAGCUUAAGCCGAUAGGUGUAGGCGUAGGGAAACCGAGUGUUAAUAGCGCGUUUUAGUUAGUAGGAUUAGACCCGAAACCAGAUGAUCUAGCUAUGAGCAGGUUGAAGGUGCGGUAACACGCACUGGAGGACCGAACCCACUUAUGUUGAAAAAUGAGGGGAUGACUUGUUGCUAGGGGUGAAAGGCCAAUCAAAUCUGGAGAUAGCUGGUUCUCCGCGAAAUCUAUUUAGGUAGAGCGUCAAAUGAAUACCCUCGGGGGUAGAGCACUGGAUGGGCUAGGGGGACUCACCGUCUUACCAAACCUAACCAAACUCCGAAUACCGAGGAGUACUAUUUGGCAGACACACUGCGGGUGCUAAGGUCCGUAGUGGAAAGGGAAACAGCCCUGACCGUCGUCUAAGGUCCCUAAGUAAUGGCUAAGUGGUAAAGAAUGUGAGAGUGCUUAAACAACCAGGAGGUUGGCUUAGAAGCAGCCAUCCUUUAAAGAUAGCGUAACAGCUCACUGGUCAAGCGCUCCCGCGUCGAAAAUGUACCGGGGCUUAAGCCAUUCACCGAAGACACGGGCGCACUUUAUGUGCGCGGUAGCGGAGCGUUCCGUAAGCCUGUGAAGGUAUCCUGUGAGGGAUGCUGGAGGUAUCGGAAGUGAGAAUGCUGACAUGAGUAACGAUAAAAGGGGUGAGAGACCCCUUCGCCGAAAGAUCAAGGUUUCCUGCGCAAUGCUAAUCAGCGCAGGGUUAGCCGGCCCCUAAGGCAAGGCCGAAAGGCGUAGUCGAUGGGAACCAGGUUAAUAUUCCUGGGCCAGUGGGUAGUGACGGAUGACGUAUAUCGUAUCCCCUUAUUGGAUUGGGGGUGCGGUGAAGUCGUUCCAGGAAAUAGCUCCCACAUGAGACCGUACCCCAAACCGACACAGGUGAUCAGGUAGAGCAUACCAAGGCGCUUGAGAGAACUAUGCUGAAGGAACUCGGCAAAUUACCUCCGUAAGUUCGCGAGAAGGAGGCCCUGUAUGAACGCAAGUUUGUAUAGGGGGCACAGACCAGGGGGUGGCGACUGUUUAUUAAAAACAUAGGGCUCUGCGAAGUCGCAAGACGACGUAUAGGGUCUGACGCCUGCCCGGUGCUUGAAGGUUAAAUGGAGUGGUGCAAGCCGCGAAAUGAAGCCCAAGUAAACGGCGGCCGUAACUAUAACGGUCCUAAGGUAGCGAAAUUCCUUGUCGG
rnacentral:rRNA from 1 species